GACAGAGGGGGCAAGCGUUGUCCGGACUGACUGGGCGUAAAGCGCGCGCAGGCGGUCUCGGGCGUCGGUGCUGAAAGUCCACCGCUUAACGGUGGGAUGCGUGCCGAUACGCCGAGACUGGAGGGGGGGCGAGGGUGGUGGAAUUGCCGGUGUAGUGGUGAAAUGCGUAGAGAUCGGGAAGAACAUCGGUGGCGAAGGCGCUCUACUGGACCACAACUGACACUCAGGGACGAAAGCUAGGGGAGCGAAUGGG
rnacentral:rRNA from 1 species